GCCCAGACUCCUACGGGAGGCAGCAGUGGGGAAUAUUGCACAAUGGGGGAAACCCUGAUGCAGCGACGCCGCGUGAGUGAAGAAGUAUUUCGGUAUGUAAAGCUCUAUCAGCAGGGAAGAAAAUGACGGUACCUGACUAAGAAGCCCCGGCUAACUACGUGCCAGCAGCCGCGGUAAUACGUAGGGGGCGAGCGUUAUCCGGAUUUACUGGGUGUAAAGGGAGCGUAGACGGUUCUGCAAGUCUGAAGUGAAAGCCCGUGGCUUAACCGCGGAACGGCUUUGGAAACUGUGGAACUGGAGUGCUGGAGAGGCAAGCGGAAUUCCUAGUGUAGCGGUGAAAUGCGUAGAUAUUAGGAGGAACACCAGUGGCGAAGGCGGCCUGCUGGGCUUUUACUGACGCUGAGGCUCGAAAGUGUGGGGAGCAAACAGGAUUAGAUACCCGCGUA
rnacentral:rRNA from 1 species